ACAAUUUUUAGUGGCGAACGGGUGAGUAACGCGUGAGAAUUUGCCUUUAGGAAGAGGAUAACAAUUGGAAACAGUUGCUAAAACUCUAUAUGCCGUUUACGGUGAAAAAAGUAAUUUGCCUAAAGAGAAGCUCGCGUCUGAUUAGCUAGUUGGUGGGGUAAAGGCCUACCAAGGCGACGAUCAGUAGCUGGUCUGAGAGGACGAUCAGCCACACUGGAACUGAGACACGGUCCAG
rnacentral:rRNA from 1 species